rnacentral:lncRNA from 1 species
CCGGAGUUCGCGUCCUCAAGGCCCCAGCCUGGCCUCAGGGGACUCCUAGCCCACCCCAGAACCCUACUCCUCCGAGCCCACCCGGCCCAGGCCCACCUGUGGGGCGGACCCCAGCAUGCACAGCCUCGCCCAUCCUUAUCUUCGGACAGAGACCAGAACCCUGGAAGGAACUGGGGGCAGAAGCGGCGAGAUCCAGAGAUCCAGUCUGCGGGUCGCAGGGGUGGGGUGGAAGGGAGAGGAAGGCAGGGGGAUGCCUGGGGUCCGGGCGAGAAGAGGGUGGGGCUCACGUCAGGUCCCCAAGCCGCUCGGCCUCGCCUCAGGGCAGACGCGUGUCCAGCAGCAAGGCGGACGAGAGGUCGGCCGAGUCCGUAGGAGGCGACGUCGGAGAGCAGCCCGAGUAGCCCGAGCCGCUGCAGCCGACGGCCCGGGAAAGGCCGCGACCCCUCGGCACACGGCUCCCGCAGUCCCCGCUCCCCGCUGUUAGGGGCAGGGUCACCCCGAUUCUGCAGAGGGGGACACUGAGCAGGAAGCCACGGAGUCAGGAAGGGACCCGCCGGGUUCCGAGACCCCCGCCCCCAGCAGAAGCAGCUUUGUCCAACUAUUAGGGGCUCCCCGUGCUCGCAUUCUGGGAACCACAAGCUCACAGGUUCUGGGUAGGAGUCAGCCUGGGUUUAGGGUUCAGUUGGCCCAUUCAGGACGCCUUCAGAAAGCUGCGUGUCCCCAGAGGCGACUGAGGCCCUGGCGUGGGGUUUGCAUUUCCUCCUGCACAGUCUCACUGGCCCCAGAAGCCUGCUGUGUGGACAGCGCUAUACCUGCCAGUCUGGUCUGGGAGACCAAAUUCCACCGGAGCUUGUCAUCCCUGGGGCUGGCUGUGGGGGAGCGGGUUCAGGGAGGGGUUGGACCCCAGGACCAAUGCUGGCCAGGCCCGGAGGCAUGAAGGGUCUGGGUCUGGGGACAUGGCCGGAGGAGCUGGCACUGAGGCCCAGCUCCGGAUGGCAGGCGUGGGGUGCGCUGGGGUGGUCAGCAUCUCGUCUCUCUUACGCCCUGCUCCCAGACUCAGCUCCCGCAGCAGAAGACGCAGCUGCAGGAGGCCUGCGAGCGCAAGGAGAAGAGCGUGGGCCUGCUGCAGCACCAGCUAGUGGAGGUGGAGGUGAGGGCCGCUGCGGGCCUGGGAUCAGGGGUCCGGGCCGAGGGCGUCCUGCCGAGUGCUCUCCCCUGCCCCUCACAGGAGACGGUGCGGCAGUUCCGGGGGGCUGUUGGGGAGCAGCUGGGCAAGAUGCGGCUGUUCCUGGCUGCCCUGGAGGGCUCUUUGGACCGGGAGGCGGAACGAGUUCGAGGCGAGGCUGGGGCGGCCUUACAGCGGGAGCUGGCGGGCCUGAACUCCUACCUGGAGCAGCUGCGGGAGAUGGAGCAGGUGCUGGAGGAGGUGGCCGACAAGCCACAGACCGAGUUCCUCAUGAAAUACUGCCUGGUGACAAGCAGCCUGCUCCUGCUUCUGCUCCCUGCUGUUCACGGAGGAGGAGGAUCUUCGCUUCAGGAACUCCCGGGCCAACUGUGGCCUCCCAUUGCAGAGCAGCCAGAGCCACGCGUGGAACUGCAGCAAAAGCAUGACUUUGCAUCCAGUACCUCACUCAUCUUUUCUUUUUUUUAGUAGGAAAAAUUGGUGUCAUUUUAAAAAUUAUUAUUUAAUUUAUCUAUCUUUUCUUAAGUUCUUUUAUUGGUACAUUUUAGGUAUACAGUAUGCUUACAUUUAUCAUUCGGUGUUUGUACCUGCAUAUGAUGUAUCUUGGUUAUUUUUCCAUUACCUGUGCAUCCUUCAUCCCCUCCACCCUUCCUUAUUUACACAGACUUGGUUUCCAUUUUUCCCUUUUCUCAUAAUUUUUCCUUUCCCUUCUUUACUUUCCCCUUCCCUUCCCACUUGCACUACCCCUUCGGACCUUUUCUUCCUAUUUCAAAUUAUGAAUUAUUCAUUUUCAUCCUUAUUUACACUUUCAGUUUCUUACACUAGAGAAACUAUUAGGUAUUUACACAUGUGUGUCCUAUUUAUUUCACUUAAGAGGAUGGCCUCAAUGUGCAUCCAUUUAGCUAUAAAUGACUCUAAUUUCUCAUUUUUUAUGG